UACGUAGGGUGCAAGCGUUAAUCGGAAUUACUGGGCGUAAAGCGUGCGCAGGCGGUUGUGCAAGACCGAUGUGAAAGCCCCGGGCUUAACCUGGGAAUGGCAUUGGUGACUGCACGGCUAGAGUGUGUCAGAGGGGGGUAGAAUUCCACGUGUAGCGGUGAAAUGCGUAGAGAUGUGGAGGAAUACCGAUGGCGAAGGCAGCCCCCUGGGAUAACACUGACGCUCAUGCACGAAAGCGUGGGGAGCAAACAGG
rnacentral:rRNA from 1 species